rnacentral:rRNA from 1 species
GCAUAUCAAUAAGCGGAGGAAAAGAAACUAACAAGGAUUCCCCUAGUAACUGCGAGUGAAGCGGGAAAAGCUCAAAUUUAAAAUCUGGCGGUCUUUGGCCGUCCGAGUUGUAGUCUGGAGAAGCGUCUUCCGCGUUGGACCGUGUACAAGUCUCUUGGAACAGAGCGUCAUAGAGGGUGAGAAUCCCGUCUUUGACACGGACUACCAAUGCUUUGUGAUGCGCUCUCAAAGAGUCGCGUUGUUUGGGAAUGCAGCGCAAAAUGGGAGGUGAAUUCCUUCUAAAGCUAAAUAUUGGCGAGAGACCGAUAGCGAACAAGUACCGUGAGGGAAAGAUGAAAAGCACUUUGGAAAGAGAGUUAAACAGUACGUGAAAUUGCUAAAAGGGAAACGCUUGAAGUCAGUCGCGUCGUCCGGAACUCAGCUUUGCUUCGGCUUAGUGCACUUUCCGGUUGACGGGCCAGCAUCGAUUUUGACCGCUGGAAAAGGGCUGGAGGAAUGUGGCACCUUCGGGUGUGUUAUAGCCUUCAGUCGCAUACAGCGGUUGGGAUCGAGGAACGCAGCGCGCCUUAUGGCUGGGGUUCGCCCACAUUCGCGCUUAGGAUGCUGGCAUAAUGGCUUUAAACGACCCGUCUUGAAACACGGACCAAGGAGUCUAACAUGCCUGCGAGUGUUUGGGUGGAAAACCCGAGCGCGUAAUGAAAGUGAAAGUUGAGACCUCUGUCGUGGAGGGCAUCGACGCCCGGACCUGACGUUUUCUGAAGGAUCCGCGGUAGAGCAUGUAUGUUGGGACCCGAAAGAUGGUGAACUAUGCCUGAAUAGGGUGAAGCCAGAGGAAACUCUGGUGGAGGCUCGUAGCGAUUCUGACGUGCAAAUCGAUCGUCAAAUUUGGGUAUAGGGGCGAAAGACUAAUCGAACCAUCUAGUAGCUGGUUCCUGCCGA